UACCAGCACCCCGAGUGGUCGGGACGUUUAUUGGGCCUAAAGCAUCCGUAGCCGGUUCUACAAGUCUUCCGUUAAAUCCAACUGCUUAACAGGUGGGCUGCGGAAGAUACUACAGAGCUAGGAGGCAGGAGAGGCAAGCGGUACUCAGUGGGUAGGGGUAAAAUCCGUUGAUCCAUUGAAGACCACCAGUGGCGAAGGCGGCUUGCCAGAAUGCGCUCGACGGUGAGGGAUGAAAGCUGGGGGAGCAAACCGG
rnacentral:rRNA from 1 species